rnacentral:rRNA from 1 species
AUACGUAGGGGGCUAGCGUUAUCCGGAAUUACUGGGCGUAAAGGGUGCGUAGGUGGUUUCUUAAGUCAGAAGUGAAAGGCUACGGCUCAACCGUAGUAAGCUUUUGAAACUAAGAGACUUGAGUGCAGGAGAGGAGAGUAGAAUUCCUAGUGUAGCGGUGAAAUGCGUAGAUAUUAGGAGGAAUACCAGUUGCGAAGGCGGCUCUCUGGACUGUAACUGACACUGAGGCACGAAAGCGUGGGGAGCAAACAGGAUUAGAUACCCUGGUAGUCCACGCCGUAAACGAUGAGUACUAGCUGUCGGGGGUUACCCCCCUCGGUGGCGCAGCUAACGCAUUAAGUACUCCGCCUGGGAAGUACGCUCGCAAGAGUGAAACUUAAAGGAAUCGACGGGG